UUCACUUUCAUUAGGCUGCUCUCCUCGUAACCCAAACUGGUUUAUGUUAGGAGAAAACAGUUUGAUGUCAGUGCGUGUCAUUUGGAAAGGAGCCUAUUUAAACUGGGCAUUAUAAGGAACUCAUAGUGCUUCCUCUGUUUGUUUCACAGCAUAAAAGACAUUGGUCCUGGUGGUAAAGAGACCUAGUGGAAGACACCAUUGCUGAUCUCCUGGGCAAAGUAGGGCAGAGCUUGCUGAGUUGUGGGAGGAAGCACUGCCCUGAGAGCCAGUGGUGUUCCAGACUCCUCCAUCCUCCUCCUCUUCCCAGCUGGGAUGGCGAGCUCCUGUGACUGGCCCGUCACUCUCCCCCCAGCCGUCUUGCAUAGAUUUGGAAUCUUUAAGGAAAGAAUGAAUUAACUCUUUGCAACAGCUAUAUAAAACAAUCAUCAGAAUAAUAAUUCCUUGCAGAUGCAGCAUUUACGUGUCUUUGUAAUUUUAUCUACUCCAUCUCCAUGGCAAGACAAAUAUUAUUACUCAUUUUUUAGAGAGCAGGAAACUAAAAUCCAUAAAGCUUCAAUGAUACACAGAAAGUUAACAAACCAUAGAAUCAAGGCCUCCUGAUUUAUGGAUCAAUGCUUUUUCCCUUGCACAAAGUUGGACAGGAAUUUCAAAACUGAAAAGAACUUAUCACAACAUUCCUGGCAAGAAAUUUCACAUCUCAAUUAAGAUAAAUCUGUUCCUCUUAAUGAACAUGGUUUACUGUAGCCCUGGUUUUAUCCUCCAUUCAGUAUGUACUUUAUAUACAAUGGACACUAUAAAUACGAGGUAUGAUAAAGGACAACUGUCUAGCUUGCUUGGGGUGAAGCAGAGACGAACAGAACAUGAAAAGGGGGAAAAUUUUUU
rnacentral:lncRNA from 1 species